UAUGAGAUAAUCUGGUUUUGGACACGUGAAAAUUAACUUUUCACAGCAGCAAUAUGAUAUGAUUUUCACGUAUCCAAAACCGGACUAUAUCAUA